rnacentral:rRNA from 1 species
UAGGGAAUCUUCCGCAAUGAACGCAAGUCUGACGGAGCAACGCCGCGUGAGUGAAGAAGGAUUUCGGUUCGUAAAACUCUGUUGUUAGAGAAGAACAGCGCAUAGAGUAACUGUUAUGCGUGUGACGGUAUCUAACCAGAAAGCCACGGCUAACUACGUGCCAGCAGCCGCGGUAAUACGUAGGUGGCAAGCGUUGUCCGGAUUUAUUGGGCGUAAAGCGAGCGCAGGCGGUCAAUUAAGUCUGAUGUGAAAGCCCCCGGCUCAACCGGGGAGGGUCAUUGGAAACUGGUUGACUUGAGUGCAGAAGAGGAGAGUGGAAUUCCAUGUGUAGCGGUGAAAUGCGUAGAUAUAUGGAGGAACACCAGUGGCGAAGGCGACUCUCUGGUCUGUAACUGACGCUGAGGUUCGAAAGCGUGGGUAGCAAACAGG